rnacentral:rRNA from 1 species
AUGAACCCCUCCUUGGCUCCGGGCCCGGAUGGAUUGCCAGUCCUGUUUUUUUUAACAUUCUGGCAAUCCAUUAAACCGGAGGUCAUGGCCCUCUUCGACGAGUUCUUCUCUGGGACCAUGGACCUGGGGCGCCUGAACUAUGGGAUCAUUACCCUCAUCCCAAAGGUUCCGGGGGCCUCGGACAUCCGCCAGUUCCGCCCGAUCACCGUGAUUAACGUGAUCUUCAGGAUCCUGGCCAAAGGAUACGCCAAUAGGGUGACCCUUCUUGCGGACUCUGUCACCCACCCCAACCAAUCCGCCUUCAUUCAAGGCCGAUUAUUUUGGAUGGGGUGUUGGUCUUUCAUGAAGUCCUCCACGAAAUCCGAUCCAAGCACCACCGCGCGGUGUUCCUUAAGCUCGACUUCCAUAAGGCCUACGACACGGUCCACUGGCCCUUCCUUCGGGAAGUAUUGCUUCGGAAGGGCUUCGACGACCGCUGGGUUACCCGCGUUAUACAACUCGUCACCUGCGGUCGGACGGCGGUCAACAUUAACGGCGAGACCGGUCCCUACUUCCCCACCCUAUGUGGGGUGCGCCAGGGUGACCCGUUCUCCCCGUUCCUUUUUAACAUGGUUGUCGAUGCCCUUGCGGUCAUCCUUGAUAAGGCCAAAGCGUGCGGCCAUAUCCGGGGCGUUGUCCCCCACCUAG